CACGUAGGGCGCAAGCGUUGUCCGGAAUUAUUGGGGCGUAAAAGAGCUCGUAGGCGGUCUGUUACGUCUGCUGUGAAAACCCAGGGCUUAACCCUGGGCUUGCAGUGGAUACGGGCAGACUAGAGGCAGGUAGGGGAGAAUGGAAUUCCUGGUGUAGCGGUGAAAUGCGUAGAUAUCGAGAGGAACACCUGCGGCGAAGGCGGGUUGCUGGGCUGACACUGACGCUGGAUGCGCGAAAGCCAGGGGAGCGAACGGG
rnacentral:rRNA from 1 species